CUUGAUAGACUUGGAGAUCAUUUUGUCGCUUUGGCCUUAAUGAUCUCGACCCACUUUGUCGCUUUGGCCUUAGUGGGGUAACCGUCGUUGCGGACAUAAAGUCGCUCUUGAUCAGGGUGGACUAUAAACAUAGGUUCUGAUAGUGAACCAGAUCCUGUCGCUUUGGCCAGGAUCCACGCAUUCUGUCGCUUGGGCCAGAAUCAGACUCUGAUAGUGAGUCACUCCAUUUUGUCGCUUUGGCCUUAAUGGAUGGGAGUUAUUUUGUCGCUUUGGUCUUAAUAAUCUCCCUUCAUCUUGUCG
rnacentral:lncRNA from 1 species